UUUCCGUAGGUGAACCUGCGGAAGGAUCAUUACUGAUUUGGCGGACCGAGCGUCAGCGAGGUUCCGCGAUCACCUGUAUUUAAAACCCACACUUUUGAAUUAUAUGUAUAUUUUUGUAUUUUUGAUAAAAAAAAGAUCACUUUCAACAACGGAUCUCUUGGCUCUCGCAUCGAUGAAGAACGUAGCGAAGUGCGAUAAGUAAUGUGAAUUGCAGAAUUCCGUGAAUCAUCGAAUCUUUGAACGCAAAUCGCACUCUCUGGUAUUCCGGAGAGUAUGCCUGUUUGAGGGUCAGUUAAAUAAAAAUCGAUGUUGUUGCCAUCUUGCGUGGUGACGCAUCAGAUGUGGGUCGUCUUACCUUCGGUUAAGUGACCUAAAAUUUUGCAUGAUUUUUUCGAACGUAUUUAAAUUAUUUACGUGCGUUUGUGAUAAUCGAACAUUAGACGUGAUCAUUCUCAUGAUUCGCGCCUAUGAUUUCUCAUCAAAAUGACCUCAAAUCAGGUAAGAGUACCCGCUGAACUUAA
rnacentral:rRNA from 1 species